rnacentral:rRNA from 1 species
GACGAACGCUGGCGGCGUGCCUAAUACAUGCAAGUCGAGCGGACCUCUUCGGAGGUCAGCGGCGGACGGGUGAGUAACACGUGGGCAACCUGCCUGUAAGACUGGGAUAACACCGGGAAACCGGUGCUAAUACCGGAUAAUCCUUUUCCUCACAUGAGGGGAAGCUGAAAGACGGUUUCGGCUGUCACUUACAGAUGGGCCCGCGGCGCAUUGGGUAGUUGGUGGGGUAACGGCCCACCAAGGCGACGAUGCGUAGCCGACCUGAGAGGGUGAGCGGCCAUGCUGGGACUGAGACACGUCCCAGACUCCUGCGGGAGGGAGCAGUAGGGAACCAUCCGCAAUAGACGAAAGUAUGGCGGAGCAACGGCGCGUGAGCGAAGAAGGCCUUCGGGUCGUAAAGCUCUGUUGUCAGGGAAGAACACGUACCGGAGGAACUGCCGGUGCCUUGACGGUACCUGACCAGAAAGCCACGGCUAACUACGUGCCAGCGGCCGCGGUAAAAC